rnacentral:rRNA from 1 species
AUUGAACGCUGGCGGCAGGCCUAACACAUGCAAGUCGAGCGGAUGAAGGGAGCUUGCUCCUGGAUUCAGCGGCGGACGGGUGAGUAAUGCCUAGGAAUCUGCCUGGUAGUGUUGGAUAACGUCCGGAAACGGGCGCUAAUACCGCAUACGUCCUGAGGGAGAAAGUGGGGGAUCUUCGGACCUCACGCUAUCAGAUGAUCCUAUGUCGGAUUAGCUAGUUGGUGGGGUAAAGGCCUACCAAGGCGACGAUCCGUAACUGGUCUGAGAGGAUGAUCAGUCACACUGGAACUGAGACACGGUCCAGACUCCUACGGGAGGCAGCAGUGGGGAAUAUUGGACAAAGGGCGAAAGCCUGAUCCAGCCAUGCCGCGUGUGUGAAGAAGGUCUUCGGAUUGUAAAGCACUUUAAGUUGGGAGGAAGAGCAGUAAGUUAAUACCUUGCUGUUUUGACGGUACCAAAAGAAUAAGCACCGGCUAACUUCGUG